GGUUAAGUGAAUAAGGGCGCACGGUGGAUGCCUUGGCACUAGGAGCCGAUGAAGGACGGGACUAACACCGAUAUGCUUUGGGGAGCUGUAAGUAAGCUAUGAUCCAGAGAUUUCCGAAUGGGGGAACCCAAUAUCUUUUAUAGGAUAUUACUUUUCAGUGAAUACAUAGCUGAUUAGAGGUAGACGCAGAGAACUGAAACAUCUUAGUACCUGCAGGAAGAGAAAGAAAAUUCGAUUCCCUGAGUAGCGGCGAGCGAAACGGGAAGAGCCCAAACCAACAAGCUUGCUUGUUGGGGUUGUAGGACUCCAAUAUGGUAGUCUGUUAGUAUAGUUGAAGGAUUUGGAAAAUUCCGCUAAAGAGGGUGAAAGCCCCGUAGACGAAAUGCUGACAACACCUAGGAGGAUCCUGAGUACGGCGGAACACGAGAAAUUCCGUCGGAAUCCGCGGGGACCAUCCCGCAAGGCUAAAUACUCCCUAGUGACCGAUAGUGAACCAGUACCGUGAGGGAAAGGUGAAAAGCACCCCGGAAGGGGAGUGAAAUAGAUCCUGAAACCGUGUGCCUACAACAAGUCAAAGCUCGUUAAUGAGUGAUGGCGUGCCUUUUGUAGAAUGAACCGGCGAGUUACGAUUGCAUGCGAGGUUAAGUCGAAGAGACGGAGCCGCAGCGAAAGCGAGU
rnacentral:rRNA from 1 species